AAUCCCAAUGAAGAUUACUGUUUGCAAUUAAAAAGUAGUGGACUGACCUCCAUUGAUGACAAACCAAUUCUGAGGGAUU